GCUCCACUCUCCUUCUCGCACGUUGCCUCUGCCUCGGGUGCUUCUCGCUGUCCGUCGUGCUCGAGCCGUCGAGCGUCUCGCCCUCCGCCGUCACCUCUCCAAGCCUCUUCGUGUGCUCUUGUGCUUCUGCCUUUUGCUCCGGGUUGGUCGGCUUUCUUCUUGCUGACUUUGCUAAAUAAAUAAUUGUUGCUCAAUCUGAGCUCCGGGUACGAGUCGACAUGGGUUGAAUCCCCACAUCCUACAGUGUCUCAGGAUUGGCUCAAUUUGGAUUAAGUAGAGGAGGAGCUUUUGUAGUAACCCUAAUCGCCUUUUGGGGCAGCAAAAUGAAGUGGUCUCUUGUCCGUUAACUGAAGGAAGUGGAAAUAAUGUAAAAUUCAACCUGAAAAGCACUGCCGAAGGAAGAAGAACAAGAAACAGCAAGAAAUUUGCAACCAAGGGCUUAUAUUGAUUGCAAGAUGGAAAGGCUCAGAUUUUGUUUUAGGAAGCAAAACAGUGUGUUUUGAAUUAGUGGAGAGGCAGCGGAGGGAAGGGGUGGGUGGAGAGAAGCUGACUCCACUGGGGACUUGUUCAUUCUGUGUUUGCUGCAACAGGAGCAACCUUCUGCGUUUCCUGUGUUUGCUUUCUUUUGCAUAAUUACUCACUGAACAAUUUAGACAAUGUGGAAGAGAUCUUCCACCAACAUGUCAUUGAUUUCUCAGCACAAGCUUCACAUUUUUUUACGCAUAAGCAAUCUGUGCUCAAAGGCACGUCUCCCCAGUGAGCCUCACAUGGACCUGAAAACAAUAAAUUCCACUUUUAUUUCGAGUGGCAACUUUCCUGAGCAAAUGACACCGAAAUCCAAUCAUAUGGAGGGAGUUUCAUCUGCAAUUGAUUAUGAUCAAAGCUCAUGUUCUGAGGAACCCCCAGAUGCUGACUUCACCAAACCUAUCAUGGGUGAUUUUCUUUCAACUUCAAAGCACGUCAUGGACACCCUUUUAAGCUGCAAGAACCAACCCACAACAGCUUUAAAGUUCUUCAGGGAAAUAGAAUGUAAAUGGGUCUCUAUAAAAAGCAUUGAUGCUUUCUGUUUGUUGCUUCAUAUUUUGACAUUUUACUCUGAGACUCGUGGGGUUGCUUGGGAUCUGCUCAGUAACUACGUUGAAAAUUUGUGUCCAGCUCCAAGUGUGUUUGUGCAAGAACUAGUUAAGUGCGCAGGAAGGUACAAGCUUGCAGCAAAUCCUCGGGUUGUCAAUUAUUUAUUGUAUAGUUAUGUUAAAGCUAAUAAAAUCAAAGAUGCUGUUGAUUGUUUUAGAACGAUGCUCGAUCAAAAUAUCAAUCCUUGGGUCCAAUUUAUGAAUAACCUUCUGAAAGCAAUGGUUAAGAGGAACAUGAUUGAUGAAGCAAUAGAUUUGUAUGAUGAAAUGAUCCAAAGAGAAAUCUAUGGUGAUUGUUUUACUCUGGAUGAAGUAAUGUCUGCAUGUUUGAUCCGGGGGUAUAGUGAAAAGGCAGAAAAGUAUUUGAGAGAGUUUAGGGCUAGAGGGCCAAAAAUUGAUGCUUUGGGAUUUGACAUUGUUGUUCAGGCUGCUUGCAAGUGGCUUAACUUGAAGUUGGCAUAUAGUCUGCUGAGGGAGAUGAAAGAUAUGGGUUGGGUGCCAUCUGAGGGUACAUAUACACGUGCCAUUGGUGCUUGUUUGAAGCAGGGUAAUGUCACUGAGGCAUUGAGGCUUAAGGAUGAGAUGGCGAGCAGUAAUAUACCACUGAAUAUUGGAGUCACAAAAUGUUUGAUGAAAUGGUAUUGCAUACAGGGGAAUGUUACUAGUGCAAUAAAGUUGUUCAAUGAAACAGUUGAGGCUGGACUUGCUCCUAACAAGGGUACUUUCUCUCUUUUGAUCAAUUGGUGCUCUAAGAUUGGGAAUAUGGAGAAGGCAUAUGCAAUUUUCUCCCAAAUGAAACUCAUGGACAUCCAGCCUACUUCCUUUAUUUAUAAUUGCCUUCUAAAGGGAUUCUUGAAACAGGAAUUGCAAGAAGAUGCAAAUAGAUUGUUUGAUGAGUCAGUUGAGCAUGGUAUUGCUAAUGUUGUAACGUAUAAUGUCCUCUUAUCCUGGCUCUGUGAUCAGGGCAAGAUUGAUGAGGCUAGCAACUUGUGGGAUAAGAUGAUGGUUAAGGGCAUUGUACCUUCCGUAGUUUCUUACAAUAGCAUGAUACUUGGCCACUGCAGAAAGGGUCAUGUUGAUGAUGCAUUGAGGUUGAUCAAUGAGAUUCUAAAAGCAGGUUUAAAACCAAAUGCCUAUACAUAUACUAUUUUAAUUGAUGGAUUUUUCAGAAAAGGAGACUCUAAACAUGCACUCAAUUUGUUUGACCAAAUGAUGGCCGAGGAAAUUGCACCAACAGAUUUCACAUUUAACAUGGUUAUAAAUGGAUUGUGUAAAGUUGGUCGGACAUCUGAGACAAAGGAUAUGUUGAACAAGUUUGCUGAGAAGGGUUUUGUUCCUACAAUAAGGACUUACAAUUGCAUCAUCGAUGGAUUUGUUAAGGAAGGUUCUGUCAAUAUGGCAUUGUCUGUAUACAAGAAGAUGUCUGAAGAUGGAAUCCCACCAAAUGUGAUCACUUAUACCAGUUUGAUUAAUGGAUUUUGCAAAAGCAAUGACAUUGGUCUUGCUUUGAAAAUGCAUGAUGAGAUGAGAAACAAGGGUUUUGAAUUGGAUAUUACUGCAUACGGUGCUCUUAUUGAUGGGUUCUGCAAACAGCAAGACAUGGAAAAUGCUUGCAGACUGUUUUCUGAGCUUUUGGAGGCAAUUAGGCAAAGGUUGAUCAAAUAAAAAGAUAUGCACUGCUGCUGCUGCAACCAUCAAGUCUUUGGUCCGUGUACGUUCCACCAAUGCUCACAGCCUCAGUGAUGAGCUGCAGCAUCUCUCUGUAAGAGGCAUAAUCAAAUGAUAAAUGAGUGUUCUGGUAGGGGAGAAAGCCGUCAGCUUUCAGUGUCCCAUACAGUUCACUGCAGCUGCUUCCGAUCUCAAUUCCUUGGUGAGAGGUACCUUUACAAUAAUCCUGUAAUGAGAUUGUAUAUACAAUUUCUUGCUCUUGUUGGUUUUAAGGGAUGAGAGAAAUAUAUACCAAUUGCCGAUGAAGAUAAAUAGAAUUAAGUUGUCCUUGUGUACUGCCAUAUUUUCUACCCAACCUGGAAUACUGUUUUUUACAAUCAGAAUGAGGAAACAAAAAGAGAGUUGAAUUUUCUGGCUUUGACGGUCACACUCACACAAAUGGAGCUAAAAAUUUAGUCAUGGUUUCUAAGUCCUGUACCCUCUAUAUAUGACCAGAUCUGAAUACUAUUGAAUGUGUGUGAAAUUUGUGCUUUAAUUUCUUGUGUGUGUUUGUAUAUUGUAUGUAUAGGUUAAGUUGAUCUAUAAGAUGUUGUGGUUGUAUCUGUACCAAAACAUUUGAGGGAAAGAAUUUGAAAGUGUACUUUAUUUUUUAUUUUAAUACCAUAAAUGGCUACAAGCAUUUGAGGGAAAGAGUUUAAGUGUACUUUAUUUUUCAUUUUUUUAUUUGAAGCAUUAAAAUUUUGAUUUAGCUUUGACUAUGACAUUAUAAUAAAAUGGGCCACUUUUUAAUCAAACAAAACAUGCCCCUAAAAGCUAAUUGAUUAUGUGAUUUUUUUUUUUUUUUGGGAGGGGGCAUUGGGCAGUUUUGUUCUUUCUGCAGUUUAUUUGGUCCAGUCCACAUGAUCAGAUUUCCCAACAACAACAUAAUCUCACGAAACUGAACUUGUUGAAAAGUUGGAUCUAAAUGCAUUUUCAUGGUUAACAUUAAUCUGACUAGAUAUCAGGGAGAAAUGAGACAAACCAGUGAUUGGGUUUUGUAUCAUCUUUUCAUGGCAAUUAGUUUUCUAUUGUUAGAUAGCCCCCCACCCAAAAAAGGAAAAAAAAAAAAAGGACAUUUUUAGCGAUAAAGUGCUUGUGAUUCGAGUGCUAUGUGCUGGUGAGGAGUAAGUUUGAUAAAAAAAAAAAAAGUAAAAAUAAUAUAAACAUAUAGGUAACACAAAACGAUGAAAGUAAGAUAUAUCAAUGCUGAAUAUGAUACAUAACAAGCACCAAUAACCGGUGCAUCUCCAAUCUCAUGUGGAUGAUGGGAACAACAAAAAAGCUCACAAAAUAAUAGCAUAUGUAUGGAUAACUAGCAUGUGCAAGCACGGUAAAUAGAGACCGCCAUUAUUUUAGUAAUAAACAUAUCAUAUAGAGCACCUACGAAAUACUCAGUUCAUCGGAGGCUUAUAGGGAGGCUUAUGAGGUGCUUCAGGCUUGUUUCCAAGAAUCGAAGCCUUCAACUUUCUAGGAAACUUCUCUCUCUCUUCAGCAUUAUCCCGUGUAGGAGGAUAUUUGUGAUAAGGAUCUUGUGGUGGCUUCUCUCCCUUACCUCCUGGCACAACCUUUUCUUUCUCCUGCAAACGAUGUCCUGGGUGAGUAGGGUCAUGUGGAGGCUUGGUUUUUGGAAGAGGUUUCUCACCCUUUGGCUUAGGUUCUGGGAAAGGCUUUUCUUCUUGUAAGCGAUGUUCUGGGUGAGUAGGGUCAUGUGGAGGUUUGGUUUUCGGAGGUGGUUUCUCACCCUUUGGUUUAGGUUCUGGUAAAGGCUUGUCUUCUUGCAGGCGAUGUCCUGGGUGAGUAGGGUCAUGUGGAGGAUUGGUUUUUGGAGGUGGCUUUUCACCCUUUGGUUUAGGUUCUGGCAAAGGCUUUUCUUCUUGCAGGCGAUGUCCGGGGUGAGUAGGGUCAUGUGGAGGAUCGGUUUUUGGAGGUGGCUUCUCACCCUUUGGUUUAGGUUCUGGCAAAGGCUUUUCUUCUUGCAGGCGAUGUCCUGGGUGAGUAGGGUCAUAUGGAGGAAUGGUUUUCGGAGGUGGCUUCUCACCCUUUGGUUUAGGUUCUGGCAAAGGCUUUUCUUCUUGCAGGCGAUGUCCGGGGUGAGUAGGGUCAUGUGGAGGAUCGGUUUUUGGAGGUGGCUUCUCACCCUUUGGUUUAGGUUCUGGCAAAGGCUUUUCUUCUUGCAGGCGAUGUCCUGGGUGAGUAGGGUCAUAUGGAGGAAUGGUUUUUGGAGGUGGCUUCUCACCCUUUGGUUUAGGUUCUGGCAAAGGCUUUUCUUCUUGCAGGCGAUGUCCUGGGUGAGUAGGGUCAUGUGGAGGAUCGGUUUUUGGAGGUGGCUUCUCACCCUUUGGUUUAGGUUCUGGCAAAAGCUUUUCUUCUUGCAGGCGAUGUCCUGGGUGAGUAGGGUCAUGUGGAGGAAUGGUUUUCGGAGGUGGCUUCUCACCCUUUGGUUUAGGUUCUGGCAAAGGCUUUUCUUCUUGCAGGCGAUGUCCUGGGUGAGUAGGGUCAUGUGGAGGCUUAGUUUUCGGAGGUGGCUU